UACGUAGGGGGCAAGCGUUGUCCGGAUUUAUUGGGCGUAAAGAGCGUGUAGGCGGCCAUACAGGUCAGCUGUGAAAACUCGAGGCUCAACCUCGAGACGUCGGUUGAAACCGUAUGGCUAGAGUUCGGAAGAGGAGAGUGGAAUUCCCGGUGUAGCGGUGAAAUGCGCAGAUAUCGGGAAGAACACCCGUGGCGAAGGCGGCUCUCUGGGACGGUACUGACGCUGAGACGCGAAAGCGUGGGGAGCGAACAGG
rnacentral:rRNA from 1 species